UUUAUGUGCAUGUCCAUGGACAGCCAGAAGAAUGAUGGAAAAGAAAAAAGGGGUGCUGAUGGCAUCAGUAUUAUUCAUAAGAUUAGUCGCUCAAAUCCUGUAAAUAGGUCUCAUGACAAGACUCCAAAUCUGUUAAUGCUAUAGCUGCUCUUGAGAAGGCUGCACACGAUGGAUUUUCCUCAGAUUCUCAGAAGUACAACCAAAAGUUGCAGCAUUUAACACAUUAUCUUAAGGUUGCCAACUUCUUAUCUAGAGUCUGCAAACAUGUGUAUCAGUGUUUGUAAAUGUCUUAUACAGUUAGUGCGCCUCUUAACCCACACAGCUUGCGGAAGUACUUGUUUGGUCUAAGUGAGAAUGACAUAUACCAUGGGACAUUUGAUUAAUGCUUUAAUCUAUCCCCAUCUGCACUGUAAUUAAUCUACUUCCUUUUCUCUGUUUAGUAUUUUUCUUCCUCAUAAAUUCACAGUUUCUUUCCAGAACAAUGCUGUAUUAGCACGGCGUGUUCUAAGUGGGGAGCUGGAACCGUCCCAUAUACUGAAGAUGUCUCCAAAUGAAUUAAAGGUCGAUUCUUAAUUUCCCUUUCCCCUUGUUUUGUUUUGCCUUUUGGGCAUUGAAUAUUCGAUGUUUCUAGUAUACAUAUCAUCUAAUAAUUAAAAGCUGUCCUUAAACAUUUAUAGUAUAUGAGAAAUUAUAUCCUGGAAACAUGUUUGGCUGUCAGGAUGAUGGUACAAGCCUUUGUUGAGUAGACAUUAUUAUUAUUAUUAUUAUUGACCUUCACUUACCUUUUGGUUCUAGAAAAUUUGUCUGGUGAGAAAUUAACGUGUUAGGUUAUUUGUUUCUGUUAAAGUUUUAAAAUGAGACCUAAUUUCCUUCAUUUUAUAUAUUCUACUCAAUUGCGCUGCAUUCUUGCUGUGGACUUGGAUUAUCUCCCUCUUGCAAGUGUACACGUUUUUAUAUGGGUAUAUGAAUUUCUGUUUACUGGGAUAUCUUUUUCAGAUCUCUUACUAUUUUAGAUGGGGAAAACACGUAUUUACAGGGAUGAAGUGCUUUCAGUUUGGUCCUUGACGUGCUAAAUGACAGGUUCUAAGCUUGAAGAGCUUGAACAGAGUGAAACUGACGUCAACAUAUGGUGUCUUUAUAAGAAUCGCAAGCAAUUCAGUAUUAUUUUGAUGCAAAUUCGAAUUUCCCUCAAUUCUCUUAGUUUAACAGCCCCAAAUUUUUUCAGGAAGGUCUAACAGCAAAGGAAAUAGCUAACCUUAGGAGUCAUGGCACAUGCAGAUGACUGAUGCUGGUGAGGUUCGUGGCAACAGUAGGAUUUUUGGAAUGUCUUUUGGCCUUGGUCUAUCUUGCUGCGGUUUUUUGUAUUGAACUGUUGUCUUUUUUGCAAUUUCGAAGGCUCUAAAGGGGAGCACUCGAAUGUCUGGGGUGUUACUAUCUCCUGUAUAGAUUGAUUUUGAAUACUUGAUGCAUGUCUAAAUCUAUAUUACUGAAUGAAUGGAAACUGGAUAUAUCUAGCUUUAGCAAAAGGGUUGCCUUU